CCUACGGGAGGCAGCAGUAGGGAAUCUUCCGCAAUGGACGAAAGUCUGACGGAGCAACGCCGCGUGAACGAUGAAGGCCUUCGGGUCGUAAAGUUCUGUUGUUAGGGAAGAACAAGUGCUAGUUAAAUAAGCUGGCACCUUGACGGUACCUAACCAGAAAGCCACGGCUAACUACGUGCCAGCAGCCGCGGUAAUACGUAGGUGGCAAGCGUUGUCCGGAAUUAUUGGGCGUAAAGCGCGCGCAGGCGGUUUCUUAAGUCUGAUGUGAAAGCCCCCGGCUCAACCGGGGAGGGUCAUUGGAAACUGGGAAACUUGAGUGCAGAAGAGGAAAGCGGAAUUCCAAGUGUAGCGGUGAAAUGCGUAGAGAUUUGGAGGAACACCAGUGGCGAAGGCGACUUUCUGGUCUGUAACUGACGCUGAGGCGCGAAAGCGUGGGGAGCAAACAGGAUUAGAUACCCUGGUAGUCCACGCUGUAAACGAUGAGUGCUAAGUGUUAGAGGGUUUCCGCCCUUUAGUGCUGAAGUUAACGCAUUAAGCACUCCGCCUGGGGAGUACGGUCGCAAGCUGAAACUCAAAGGAUUGACGG
rnacentral:rRNA from 1 species